UAGGGAAUCUUCCGCAAUGGACGGAAGUCUGACGGAGCAACGCCGCGUGAGUGAAGAAGGUUUUCGGAUCGUAAAACUCUGUUGUAAGGGAAGAACAAGUACAGUAGUAACUGGCUGUACCUUGACGGUACCUUAUUAGAAAGCCACGGCUAACUACGUG
rnacentral:rRNA from 1 species